rnacentral:rRNA from 1 species
GAUGAACGCUAGCUACAGGCUUAACACAUGCAAGUCGAGGGGCAUCAGGAAGAAAGCUUGCUUUCUUUGCUGGCGACCGGCGCACGGGUGAAUAACACGUAUCCAACCUGCCCUUUACUCGGGGAUAGCCUUUCGAAAGAAAGAUUAAUACCCGAUAGCAUAAUGAUUCCGCAUGGUUUCAUUAUUGAAGGAUUCCGGUAAAGGAUGGGGAUGCGUUCCAUUAGGUUGUUGGUGAGGUAACGGCUCACCAAGCCUUCGAUGGAUAGGGGUUCUGAGAGGAAGGUCCCCCACAUUGGAACUGAGACACGGUCCAAACUCCUACGGGAGGCAGCAGUGAGGAAUAUUGGUCAAUGGACGAAAGUCUGAACCAGCCAAGUAGCGUGCAGGAAGACGGCCCUCUGGGUUGUAAACUGCUUUUAGUUGGGAAUAAAAAGAGGGACGUGUCCCUUAUUGUAUGUACCAUCAGAAAAAGGACCGGCUAAUUCCGUGCCAGCAGCCGCGGUAAUACGGAAGGUCCAGGCGUUAUCCGGAUUUAUUGGGUUUAAAGGGAGCGCAGGCGGCGGCGUAAGUCAGUUGUGAAAUCGUGCGGCUUAACCGUGCAAUUGCAGUUGAUACUGCGUCGCUUGAGUGCACGCAGGGAUGUUGGAAUUCAUGGUGUAGCGGUGAAAUGCUUAGAUAUCAUGAAGAACUCCGAUCGCGAAGGCAUAUGUCCGGAGUGCAACUGACGCUGAGGCUCGAAAGUGUGGGUAUCAAACAGG